UUACAGCAACUAGACAAGCGUAGAAUAUGAAAUCAGGCAAAAGUGUAGGGAAAGGCGGAUCCAAGCUGAAACAAAUAAAAGUAAUGUGAGUCAUUAUUAUAUAGUGAGCAAAUCUCCGGAGCUUUGAUAUUUGGAAAACAGAGUGCAGGAGGGGAGAAGUAGACAGUAUGCACGGGAAGAGGAAGUCUGUGCUGAAAAGCAAGCAUUUUCUUAAGGAACUCGGAUGAGCUUCACUUGUCUUGUGUCACCUUCCCACUGAUGGACCAUUCUACACUUCACUCAACUUACCAAAAGAGGCACUACCUUUGAAGUCCUCUCCAACCAGUGCAAAGGAUUAUGGCCUGCCUAGGGGAGAGGGAAACCAAACGGUUUGCCU
rnacentral:lncRNA from 1 species